rnacentral:tRNA from 1 species
GCGCCGGUGGUCUAGUGGCAGGACAUGAGCUUCCCAAGCUCAUAGCCCGGGUUCAACUCCCGGUCGGCGCA